AACGAACGCUGGCGGCAUGCCUAACACAUGCAAGUCGAACGAGACCUUCGGGUCUAGUGGCGCACGGGUGCGUAACGCGUUGGAACCUGCCCUUAGGUUCGGAAUAACUCCCCGAAAGGGGUGCUAAUACCGGAUAAUGACUUCGGACCAAAGAUUUAUCGCCUUUGGCUGGGCCCGCGUUGGAUUAGCUAGUUGGUAGGGUAAAAGCCGACCAAGGCGACGAUACAUAGCUGGUCUGAGAGGAUGAUCAGCCACACUGGGACUGAGACACGGCCCAGACUCCUACGGGAGGCAGCAGUAUGUAAUAUUGGACAAUGGGCGAAAGCCUGAUCCACCAAUGCCGCGUGAGUGAUGAAUGCCUUAGGGUUGUAAAGCUCUUUUACCCGGGAUGAUAAUGAGAGUACCGGGAGAAUAAGCUCCGGCUAACUCCGUG
rnacentral:rRNA from 1 species